CCUACGGGUGGCAGCAGUGAGGAAUAUUGGUCAAUGGACGAGAGUCUGAACCAGCCAAGUAGCGUGAAGGAUGACUGCCCUAUGGGUUGUAAACUUCUUUUAUAUGGGAAUAAAAUGUUCCACGUGUGGGAUUUUGUAUGUACCAUAUGAAUAAGGAUCGGCUAACUCCGUGCCAGCAGCCGCGGUAAUACGGAGGAUCCGAGCGUUAUCCGGAUUUAUUGGGUUUAAAGGGAGCGUAGGUGGAUUGUUAAGUCAGUUGUGAAAGUUUGCGGCUUAACCGUAAAAUUGCAGUUGAAACUGGCAGUCUUGAGUACAGUAGAGGUGGGCGGAAUUCGUGGUGUAGCGGUGAAAUGCUUAGAUAUCACGAAGAACUCCGAUUGCGAAGGCAGUUCACUGGACUGCAACUGACACUGAGGCUCGAAAGUGUGGGUAUCAAACAGGAUUAGAUACCCUAGUAGUC
rnacentral:rRNA from 1 species